rnacentral:rRNA from 1 species
AUUGAACGCUGGCGGCAGGCCUAACACAUGCAAGUCGAGCGGCAGCGGGGGAAAGCUUGCUUUCCUGCCGGCGAGCGGCGGACGGGUGAGUAAUGUCUGGGAAACUGCUUGAUGGAGGGGGAUAACUACUGGAAACGGUAGCUAAUACCGCAUAAUGUCUUCGGACCAACGUGGGGGACCUUCGGGCCUCAUGCCAUCAGAUGUGCCCAGAUGGGAUUAGCUAGUAGGUGGGGUAACGGCUCACCUAGGCGACGAUCCCUAGCUGGUCUGAGAGGAUGACCAGCCACACUGGAACUGAGACACGGUCCAGACUCCUACGGGAGGCAGCAGUGGGGAAUAUUGCACAGUGGGCGCAAGCCUGAUGCAGCCAUGCCGCGUGUAUGAAGAAGGCCUUCGGGUUGUAAAGUACUUUCAGCGGGGAGGAAGGUGUUGUGGUUAAUAACCAUAGCAAUUGACGUUACCCGCAGAAGAAGCCCCGGCUAACUUCGUGCCAGCCGCCGCGGUAACAC